AAUUUUGGGACACAGCUUAGUUCUCUGUCUAGUGCUUCCACCGAUGACUCUGGACAUGAAUCCUACACUAUUCCUGCUUCUGGUAUUGACAGCUAGCUGGACUGGACCUGUUCAAUGUGAAGACAAUGAAGAGAGAGAGUAUAUCUCUGAAGGCUUGUUAGUUCUCAACGCAGAGGUUGGAGAAGAAAACCCAGGUAAGAAUCAACUACAUAUAAUUAAGGCUGUGCAAUAUUAGUAUUGUUUAAAAUUAAGAUUAACGUCCCCGUACUAAUUUAAUUCCUCCUGCUAAACUAACCGAGAAGUGCUUCUGUAAUCCGAAAGAGUUUUUAAGCGGAAGUGUGUCAUAUCUCAGACUCAGAGCAUCUCUUAAACCAGAUACCACUGAUAGACUUGUGUUCCCGGAUGUGAAAACCUCUGAAACGUUUUCAGAAUUAACCCCACAGUGUGAAAUGUAUCUCAACUUUCUGUUAACAUGCUUGGAUACAGCACUCUGUGAACAGCCAGCUUCUUUGGCAAUGAAUGUUGGUGACUUACACUCCUUGUGAAGGGUCUCAAUGACUGUCUGAGACCAUUUUGAAGGUGUUUUUAGUUAAUUAGCUGAUUGGCAUGUCACCCAAUCCUAAUCUGUUGAGAUAGUGAACUGGUGGGUUUUUGUUAAAUGUGAGCCAAAGAUAUCUAUCUAUCUAUCUAUUUAUCUGUCUG